rnacentral:snoRNA from 1 species
UCGCUCCAGAUUCCUCACCCCUCUGAGCUAAAUAUCAGUCUUAGUGGCUAAAAAGGGAGGAAAAGUAAAAUUGAAUUAGACUUGGAGUUUUCAGUGAUAUACAAGUUAACUUUAAAAAUUC